CCCCUGGAAGAACACCAGGUUGAUAGGCUCGGGGUGGAAGCGCGGCAACGCGUGCAGCUGACGAGUACUAAUCGGUCGAGGGCUUAUCCUAA
rnacentral:rRNA from 1 species